GAACACCGAGUAAGUUCAUUACCGAGGGAUUUAAUCACUCGGUAAAGUUUAAAUUUAAUUCUUAAUCAUAACUUUUAAUUUUACCGAGGGAUUAUGUACUCUGGGAAAUUGAAUUAAAGUAUUUCCCUGGUUUCCACCCCACAACACUUUCCCUCCCCAAAUUAGAAGCCCUAAUCGCUGCUGCCGUCCGCCUCCUUUGCGCUGCCGUCCACCUCCAUUGUUUCCGCUGCCAUCCACCUCAUUUGCGCCGUGAGCUCCCUCUCUCUCUCUCUCUCUCUCAUUGCCAUCCACCACAUCCUUGUCAGCUUCUUCAUUCCACUGUCGCUUUUGCCGUCGCCACCGCCGCUCGCCGCCCGUCGCUUUUCAAGUUAUACUCUACUAGAGGUAGCAAGAUCCGUUUCACGGCUGAUAGCUCUCACGCUGGGCCUAAAUAUCAACUUUUUUUUGUCAACCUGGAAUACUUGGAAGAUCCAUUGCAACACUGAAGCUGCUACAUUAUGAAGGAAUUGGAUUCAAAAGUCUGGGAUUGAGAAUAACACUGCAGAAAUUCUAGCAGCUGAAGAAAUUGAACUUAUACCAUUCCGCGCUUGACUCGUGAGAAGUAUAGGAAAGUCAAGAACAAGAAAAGAGAAGUAUCGUGAUAAUGAUGAUGGUGAUUAUGACGACAAUGAUGAGUGACAGAUAUGAGUACUAGAUUCCAUCGUGGCCGUCUUGGAGGUUCUAGCAGUGCAGCAUCAUCCCGUGCAACAUCAUCCCAUAGAGCAUCAUCCCGUGCAUCAUCUACUUUGCCAGCAUCGACUUCAGAUGUAGAGUUAGAGCAAACGACAUCUGAUGCAGUCUCAAACAAUGAUGGAAGGAUACCUCUUUCAAGGACGCUUGAAGGGGAGUUAGCAUUGUACAAGGACUUCUCUAGAGUAAUUGACAAUUUUUUAGGAGGAUUCAAAACCCGACAGGUAUCAACUGGAAGGCUACUCCAGGCGACGUCAAGGAUCUAUAUUUUGAGGAGUUUCGAAGAUACUAUUCAUGGAAUGAGAGAUGAGAGGAUAAAGUAGGCCGGCUUUGGGAAAAUAGGGCGGGUAGCAGGUUUACUGACUUUCUGUAUGAGGUCAGGGCAUGUAGGAAACCCGAUGAUAAAAGGAGGCCGGGUUACAUAUGUGAUGAUCAAUGGAAGGCAUUAUGCGCAAAUUGGGAUACUCUUGAGGCGAUCCAGAAGUCUAAACGUGCAAGCAAGGCUAGAUUGUCCGAGCCAGAUGGACCUAGCACUGGAAUAAGCAAACAUCGGGGUGGCUCAAAGUCUGUUGCUGUGAGAGCUCAUGAGAUGUCUUUGAAUGAGGGAAUUCCUGUGUUAAGAAGUGCGUGUAUGAUUCCUUUAAGACAUUACACGUGAAUAAAGAUGGAACGUAUACCUACAAGAAGGCUGAAGAAGUUGAUGCGAGAGUGAAGGCGAAUGCUGAGCAGCAAAGAGAGAAUGUUGAUUUGAGUCAGAUAUAUGUGGAUGAGGUGAUGGGAGGCCGCCUCGAUAAGAAGAAGAGGAUGUUCGGCACAGGUACUAUUGCACGGAGUCUUGUGGGCGGUACAUCACAGACAUUCCAUUCACAGUAGGUUGAGGCUCGAAUUGAAGAGCUGCAGCAGCAGCUUCAGGAGGAGCGCGAGCAUACACUCCAGCAGCUUCAGAUGGAGCGCGAGCAGAGAGUCCGAUUGGAGGAGUCACUUCGGGUGACUAAUGAGAUGCUCCAGCAGUUCUUGAGGUCCCAGCAGUCAAGGAGUAGUGGCUCGGGAGGUUCUCCCGAG